rnacentral:rRNA from 1 species
AGUGAACGCUGGCGGCGUGCCUAAUACAUGCAAGUCGAACGGAGUGGCGCACGGGUGCGUAAUAUCUAGUUACUCUGCCCCUUGCUGGAGGACAACAGUUAGAAAUGACUGCUAAUACUCCAUAGGAAGGGAUUAGACUAUAUCGUGUCAGCUAGUCGGUGGGGUAACGGCCUACCGAGGCUAUGACGCGUAACUGGUCUGAGAGGAUGAUCAGUCACAUUGGAACUGAGACACGGUCCGAACUCCUACGGGAGGCAGCAGUAGGGAAUAUUGCGCAAGGGGAGAAACCCUGACGGAGCAACGCCGCGUGGAGGAUGACACUUUGCGGAGCGUAAACUCCUUUUGUUAGGAAAGCGGUACCUAACGAAUAAGCACCGGCUAACUCCGUGCCAGCAGCCGCGGUAAUAC